GCGCUAGUAGUUUAGUGGUAGAACAUAUCGUUGCCAACGAUAGGACCCGAGUCCGAUUCUCGGCUGGCGCA
rnacentral:tRNA from 1 species